AUGCUGCCGUGGUGCAAACCACAGGGCUUGGCCGGGGCACUGGAGGGCGGUGGCAAGACCCGAAACCACGCAAGCCUCGCAUUUAUUUUUAAAUCCACCGGCGUUUUAGCUCCUGGGGCUGCUUCUCAGGCAGGACUCGGCUCCCCUGGGUUUGGCCCCUGUGGUUUGGGAGGUGCCACGUGGGGGUGCGGGACCCCCACCGGCCCAGCCCCGUGCUCACCCCAAAGCUGGCGCCAGCCUCCCCUGUCUGCCCCUUUGCAGCUUCGCCCCUGGAGCUCUGGAGGGGGCUCCCGGCUGCCAGGCUGCCCCCAGGUGCCCCUGAAAGAACCCCGCGACUCAGGUGUCCCCCCCGCCACCAGGGCUCGGUGCGGCUGGGGGGGUCAGGCCAUGGGGGCAGGGGGUAUACACGCACAUCCAGGGGCCAGGGCUGCAAGGACGCGGGGCUGCAGGUUGCGAGAGAACUGGGCACACGGGGACACGGGGAGCAGGGACGUGAGGAUGAACGUGGCUGGGGAGGCGAGCGGGCGGCCCGAAGGGAGCCUUGCUCAGGCAGCCCCCGCAGCCCGCACACCGGGGGGGGGGGGCUGCCAGCUUCCUGAGCCGCCUCUCGUCUCCCCAUGGCAACCCGGCGCGCCCCAGACGAAGCGGCCGCAAGAACCACGGCCGCGUGGGAGAUCGGCGCAGCCCCUGCAGCACCUGCCCCAGCCCCCACCCCACGGCUGCACGGCGCGGCACGGCACGGCACAACACGGCACGGCACGGCACGGUGAGCUGGCCUCGUCCUCCCUGUGCAGCCACUGGGAACACCGUCCCCAUCCCCAUCCAGCCGCCAGCGAGGGCGAAGCAGCCCAGGGUCCCCCCCAAAAGGCAAAGCCGGCCCCGCGUUGCCCCAGUGCGAGGCCAUCUCCUGCGUGUCCCAAACCGGAGCCAACCUCUGCAUCCGCUCGAGGCAAAACCAUCCCCAAGCACAACUCCAGUCCCUGCAGAGGGCAACCGGAAAGUGUCCUGAGUCCUGCCAAAAAGUACCACCAAUCCACGUGUCCCCAAAUGCAAAGCAACCCCUGCACCCCCCUGAAGGCAACGCCGACCCUCGUGUCCCCAAAGGCAAAGAUGUCCCCAAAGGCACAGCCAGCCCCAGCUUCGCAGCAAAAAACGGUGGCAGGAAUUCCCCAGACCCUUUGCCCCAUGGCCCAUGUGGCAAUGGUGAGUCCUUGGGGUUUUCCGCAGAAAUCCUGCCCUGGCCGAGCCCCGGGCACUGCAGAGGAGGGCAGGGACCCACCAGAGAGCCCGGGGAGGGGGCAUUUUUCCACCGGGGAGAAGAGGGCACAGGACAGCGUGGGCAGGCGGGGGACGUGGAACGGAGCUGGGGCAGGAGAGGGCAGGAAGGCACUGGUUGGGUAAAUCCCCCCGCUUGGACCCGCGGUGAGGUGGGGGUCACCCGGCACUGCCCCCUCCCACCUGCCCUCAGCUCCUCUCCGUGGGGACGGCGGCCAGGAGGGAGCCGCGGGGCUGCGCAGACCAGUGGGGGGGGUCCUCACCCCAGCGGAACGCGCCCCUCUUCCUGCCCGGCUCCGCCAGAGGCACCAGCAAGGCCACCCGCACCUGCACCCGAGGCCCCCAGGCCCCCUCCCUGAGACAGGAGCCCCCCAGGGAGGGCAGAGAGCCCCAGCCCCCGUGCACCUUUCCCUUCAUGCCCCCGCUUUGGGGUUUUUCCUGUGUUUCAGCAGCGCUGCAGCCAGGCCCUGCACAGAGAUUUUUGCAAAAGCAGCUCAGGGUCUGGGGAAGCGGAUGUUUUGUGGCUCUGGGUUUGACAUCUCCCCGGGGCUGGGUUUGUCGUGAGCCCCCCCAGCACCGAUCACACAUCCCCCAGACCCCAGCUUCUCUGCAGAGCUCUCAGAGGGGACGGAGCUAGAGAAAGAGCCCCCAAAGUGCCCGGUUUCAGGCAGGAGCUGGUGGCAGAGUCAGGAUGAGCAGCGGGGCAGAGGACGGGGUCUCUGCGGGCACCAAGCUCCCAGCACCCAGGCCCGGGGCAGCGGGGACGGGCACUGCCUCCUCACCUGCCCCUGAUGGGGGAGCGUGAGGAGAGCUCUGGGCGAAGCCCAGCGGGGCCCCCCAGGACCUGGACAAUGGCGGGCAGGAAACAACCCCAAGGCGCUGACACCCCCGGCCCAUGGGGGACACAUCACCCGUCCCUGACGGCGACAGUUUGCUGCUGCACGGCCCCGAGCCCGGCAGGGGGGCCGGGGGGAGCAGGCCCAGGAAGGACCGUGGCAAACCAAGCGGCCCUAACACGUUUAGACUUCCAACACAUUAAGCAGGUUGGUUUCAGCAUCAAAGUGACACCGUCUGUCUCGGCCGAGGGAAGGGAGAGGGGGAGGCAGCAGAAGGGGCGCUGCCAGCG
ensembl:lncRNA